CAUUUAUAUACUACAGGUAAAAAAGGAUGGGAAUUAUUUUGUUAGCAUUUUAAUUGUACCUUUUUGAAGAAGUAUGUUUGCACUAACUUUUGAUUACUUUUUUCAUUUUGAAAAUUUCAUUUGAUAUAUACAUUGUACAUGUAUUAUAUUUGGAUUUUUAUAUUUCAGGGAUAAAGACCUUAGACCUGCAGUCAGACACCAGUUAAAAGUUACUUAUAACUCAUCAUGGCCAUUAUCAUGAUUAUGGAAGAUCUGAUUAAAAUUUGUUUAGAAAGCUACCAAAUAUGUCCGUGAAAAAUAGAAAAAAGACAGCAAUUCUACAUAAUGUACCGUACUAAGCAGAAGCAUUGAAUGUUUCAAGACCAAAUGAAUUGGAAUUUAGUGUUUUGAUGCUGAAAAAACGAGGAAUAUUAAUUUUCAUCAUUAUUGAAGUUGAUUUUUUUACCUCAGUUAAAAUGAAUUCCAAAUAUACAUGAUAUCAGCAGUUCGGAGAUUUGUGAAUAUUCUUAGAAUAGGAGCUUCAAAAAGGAUUUCAGUUAAAAAAUUGUAUUUCAUGGAUGUAAAAAAUGUAAUUUGUUGUCUCUUUCAUGAAAUAUAUGAAAAAAUCUGCAAUAUCUAACCAAGACGAGUGAGAGAUCUACAAAUAGACAUGCUAUUCAGUUGAAUUGUAAACAUGGUAAAGAGGAAUUUUGAAAUAUUCAUUUAUAAGACUUAUAUGAGUGUUUUGUUAUUUUUAUGGCGAUUACAGGCAAUUCAAUAUAAAUAUUAAUCAUACCAGUAAACCUACAGAUAUGUACAUUUUCAUGAGAUAUGUACAUGUAUGCAUGCAAUUCACUGAUGCACCACUAAUGGAGUUGCAUGUACAUGUAAUAAUAAAAGUAAGAAUAUGACAUAUGAUUGCCAAUGAAACAACUCUCCAUCAGGGAACAAAUAGUCCUAUACAUGUACAUUUAUGUAUUGGCCACCAGAGAACAAGAAAAUCAUAUUUUGUCAUUAUUUAUAUUUCAAUCUCAUUUCAUAACACACAAACUACAGGUUUACAAAAGGUUCAAAAGCAUAAUAAAGUGUUUUGAUUGCAGUUGUUGGUCAUAUUGAUGUUGGCCUUCAAUACUGAGCAAGACCUCUGUACAAGACUACAAGUGUAACAGCCACACAAUGUUUGAACCAAAAAAAAAUGGGUAUUUUUCUUUGUUUGCAUUUAUAUCAUGUAGCUGCUAUUUUGUACAUAUGUACAUUUACAUACAUGUUCAUGUGUAUCUAACUUUUCUACAGGUACAUGUACAUGUAUACUUGGGAAAUCGGAAUUAUAUUAUAUUUGUCC
rnacentral:lncRNA from 1 species